GAUGAAGAACGUAGUGAAAUGCGAUAAGUAAUGCGAAUUGCAGAUUUCAGUGAGUCAUCGAAUCUUUGAACGCACAUUGCGCCCGCCAGUAUUCUGGCGGGCAUGCCUGUUCGAGCGUCAUUUCAACCAUCAAGCCCCCGGGCUUGCGUUGGGGCCCUGCGGCUGCCGCAGGCCCCGAAAAGCAGUGGCGGGCUCGCUGUCACACCGAGCGCAGUAGCGAUUCUCGCUCCGGGCGUCGGCGGCGGGCACCAGCCGUGAAACCCCCCCACAUCCACAAGGUUGACCUCGGAUCAGGUAGGAAUACCCGCUGAACUUAAGCAUAUCAAUAAGCGGAGGA
rnacentral:misc_RNA from 1 species